UGUUUAUACAUUGUACGUUGUGUGGAAAAUGUCCAAAUCAAAGAGAAUGUUUCGGUAGAGAUGAAAUGUGAAGUUAGUUGUCUAAAAUUGGAUUUGAGUAAAAUCUAUACCUUGCCCCUUAAACCUGGUACGCCCAGAGAAUUGCCCUGAAGGCGGUUACGCCCACUUCUGACCCGAGGGUAUAAAACCUGUGAGUGCAGAAUUAACAGAUAUGACUAAGUGACCCGAGCUGCAGCCAAAGGUCUAAAAGGUCAGCGAAUCCAAAACGCAACAAGUUGAAGACAAAGAAAUCUUUUUCUACCCAAGCUACGGAUGAGUAGCGUGUCUAAGCGGGUGUAUUCAAGCCAAACCACCUAGCCUCCACUCCCCAUCGAAUCGUGAUAUCUACACUCUUUCAUCUUUACGCUGUGAGCUCUGAGCUACAGAGCUAUCUGUCCUCCGUAGACCCCUUCCAGAGCGAGGACAAAGGAACAGGCCAGUAAAGCCAAAGGACACGGACAUCGUGUCGUGAGGACACCUAGAGAGGUGCGCAGGAGAAGUGCGUCAUUGAGCAGCUUGAACGGUCCACGCGGGAAAAUCCACGGAGACCCUCCACAAUGUCCUGUGUUUGCUGCUCGAGGACAAUGGCACCACAACACAUCCAUGUGGAACACCACCUUGGACACACAGCUCACCCAGGAACAGCUGUUUCCACAGCAACAGAGACAGUGCAGAUAAUUCAAGGUUGUUGAUGCUGUUCCCUAUCUCUCCCCGUGAGAGAGAGAGAAAGAAGAGAGAAAGAGAGAGAAAAGAAAGGAGAGAAAAGAAAGAAGAGAGAGAGACGGCCUGGGGUGAAUGGAGGCCAGGCCAGCUUACCCGCUGCACCAUGCUGAGAUACGAUCCAUACCUUCAGUUGACUGUCCUGUCCACAGGAGGCCAAUCGAAACUCCACCGAACUGAAAUCUGUGGAGCAGAGGAACAAACCCGGCACAUUGGCCCUCCAUCAGAAUAAUAUGGUUAACUUGUUUACAAACCAGGCAAUAACCCUCAUAAUAAAAACCCAUCACAAUAGGAGGACAAAAAUGGUUGUUGCCUAUCAUUUAAAGCGCUGGGAAACAUUGAUAAUACAUUUCAGGCAAUUUCUAGAAUUCAACUCUGACAAUCAUAAAUGGAUUGCAUUGAUAAUAGGAACUCAUGUUAAUGGUUGAUGAAAGAUUAAAUAAAUGUUUCACCAGUUUAAUAAAUGAUUAGCUGAGAGCGGGUGGAACAUUAAUCAUAAUCAUCUAAUCAUAAUUUACCUUUGAUAAAGAUGAGUAAAAAGGACUGUAGGAAGUAAAUACAUGUUUUCACUCACUCAUUUACACACACAAUACCCCGUAAUGACCAAGUAAAAAAUUGUUUUUAGCAAUUUUAGAAAAUUUACUGUUUUUGUUUUUCUGCUCUUGUUUACACCAGUAUUUCUACUUGCACAUCCUCAUCUGCACAUAAAUCACUGCAGUGUAAAUUGCUAAAUUGUAAUUACUUUGCCACUAUCGGCCUAUUUAUUGCCUUACUUCCUUACUUCAUUUGCACACACUGUAUACAGAUUUUUCUAUUGUGUUAUUGACUGUACGUUUGUUUAUCCCAUGUGUAACCGUGUCGUUGUUUUUGUCACACUGCUUUGCUUUAUCUUGGCCAGGUCGCAGUUGUAAAUGAGAACUUGUUCAACUUUUACCUGGUUGGUAAAUGGCCUCCACAAUCAACCGACCGAAAACCCAAUUGAGAUGGUUUGGGAUGAGUUGGACCGCAGAGUGAAGGAAAAGCAGCCAACAAGUGCUCAGCAUGUUUUAUUUAACCAGGCAAGUCAGUUAAGAACACAUUCAUAUUUACAAUGACUGCCUACCCUGGCCAAGCCCGGGCGACACUGGGCCAAUUGUGCGCCGCCCUAUGGGACUCCCAAUCAGGGCUGGAUGUGAUGCAGCCUGGAUUCGAAUUAGGUACUGCAGUGACGCCUCUUGCACUGAGAUGCAGUGUCUUAGACAACUGCGCCACUCAGGAGCACAGCAUAUGUGGGAACUCCUGUUGGAAAAGCAUUCCAGGUGAAGU